GGAUACUGAAAACUUGCCCGAAGGUACUUCUAGGAUGUUUGUGGCCCAUCUAUUUUGGUUUUCCAUGUACCUCUGCUUCUACAUGACCUGAAUUCACAUAUUGUGUGCUGCAUUAAAGAAGUGACCUUCCACACCAAAAACGUCUAAAUCAGAAGCAAAAGCAGUAUACAGAGCCAUACCCAGACCAAAAGACAGAGCUGGGAUUUUGAGGAGCAAGCAGGAGCUGACUGUCUCACUGUCUUCAGUGAAGGUGAAUCGUCCUGCUCUGUGUAUGAAUAAAACAAGAGCAUCUUUCCCACUGCCUUCUGAUGAAACCAGACCCCCUGCAAGCAGCAAAGCAGAAUUUCAUGGCAGAGCACUUGUGAGUUCUGCCCCCAUAGCGAGACUUUGAAUUUCAUAGUGUCUACUCUGAAUUUCUUGGGGAUUCUGCUUGGAAAGACAACAAUCUUGCCUACGAGUGAAAAGGAUGCUCACUGAGAUUUGACACUCCAGUGUGGUAUCUCCAGAGCUCUCUUAAUCAUUAUCUCCACAAACUCCUACGGGGCCCCAAGAUGUAAAUGUCUUAUUCAGAUACGAUAUGCAUUAACUGAAGUUAAAGCAUCCUCAGCUGAGAAGUUAUAUGGAUAAUUUUUGAUCUUCACUUAGCUUUCAGUCAUAGGAUUAUGGAAAGACUGAAACGCAGUAAGAAUGUUGUCUGUUCCAAAUACAUCUCCUGAAGGUGUAAGCUGUGAUACAGCAUUUGCUUGAAUAUGCAUGAGACCUUCUCAUAUGCAAUGGGUCAGAAUAUUUUUUUCCCUUGAGACUUUGUCUUUGACUUAUCCUGAUGAAAAAAGAACGUCCCUUUCAAAUUCAUUGACUUUUACAUUAGCCAUAAUUUGAGAUGAGUUGCCUUGGGGAGUCAAGAAUUUUUGAAAGAGAGAAUUUAAUGUGAAGUGGGAUUGCCACAGCUGCAGUCCUUUCUUCUGCAAGAGGUGUUUUAAAGUUGAUUUCACUGUAGGGUAAAGAUAAAAGCUUUUCACUGUUCAUUAGCCUUUAUUUUGGGGUGUUUCUGUUAAUAAGCUAUCUUUCUUGCUUUUGUUUUGCAUUGGUUUUGUGCUUUAUUCUUUUUAUUUUUUUUCUUGCUGCAAAUUUCUGUACUGUCUUGUCAUCUGCUAUUUGCUCUUAGUUUUGUUUGCAUUAAUUUCAGUGUCAUUUUUAGAUGUAUUCUUCAGCAGAAGAAUAAAUUGUAUCAUUUUGUUUAGGAUGAACUUAUUUAAUUAAUGCGUUGGUACAGUGUUUGAAUGAACCCUUGUACCUCGGAAUGUAUUGUUGCUGAAUUACAUUACCUCACAGCAACUUACAGCUAAUCAGUUUAUGACACAUAUAUUUAAGCUCUAUUUCUAGGUAUCUGUAGAUUAUUUUUAAUUCUUUUUUAAUUACUGACCUUGAUACUAUGACAUAAUCUGCUUUUCUUCAUUAGAGAAGCAUUAAGCAGAAGAAAGAAUAUCACCUGUAGUCACUUCCAGAAGCAGAGUCAGUUUGAGUCAAUUGGUUUUAUUAUCACUGUGCUCUUCACAUUCAUAUGCCUCAAAUUGGACAGAAGGCCCUUUAAAUUUAUCUGCUGUGUCAAGGCAAUCACAAGACAAGGAAUGGUAGUCACUGAGAAUGUAUUGCUUUGGAUCUCAGUAUUCUUAUUUGCCUUGAGAAAUACAGUGAGCCAUUCAACCUAAGAAGGGAUAUUUGUGCUUUUAAUCAGCAGUUUUAGAAUGCCAUUAUUAACUUUUUUUUAAAACUUAUUUUAUUAAUUAGAUAUUUUAACUGCAUAGCGAAUAGAUACAGGAAAGAAUGCAAAGAGUAUUUGAUGAAGUCUGACAAAGGAGAGAUUGUUCUAACAUUUUCAGAAUAAGAAAAAUAUGCAGUUCUCCAUCAGAUCUCUUAGGUUUGAUGUUGGGACUCUACUGUAAUCCAGUGCAGACAGCUCCUUUCCUUUAAUUGAUAAAACUUUUUCACAUAGAGAGCAGAUAGCAGAGCAAAACAGUUAGAUGACACUAAGAUAGUAGGCCAUGUUCAUUGUUUUGUACUUGUCAGUGUGUAAGCACAUGUGAGUUUAGGUGACAGGAUUUUGAGUACAAGUGUGAGUUAUUAUUUUUGAGUAAAUACUAGAAAUGUGUCAUUCAAAAGAAUAUAAUUAAGAACAUGAAAAUUUGAUGUUAUAUGAUGUCUGGAUUGACUAUAUAGAUGCUGUUCAAAAUCUCUGUAUCUAGACAUAAACUUAGAUGGUGUCAGAACAUGCUUUACUGCACAGGAUUUUAUAGGAAGGAUGUCUUGAGGGAUAGUGAACAUUUUUCGUUGGUUUAAUUCUCAUGCAUCAGGAGAGCUUUGACUGUCAGAGUGAUGCUAUAGGUGUCAAAACUUGAGAAGUGUUAAAAUAAUAUUCCUCAGUUCCACAGUGAAAUAUGAUUUAUUUCUGCUGAGAUCAUGGAAUCCUUAGUGGUAAUACGUGUUUUGUUCCACCAUUCCUAAAAUCUUACCAUUAGGUUGUUAGAUGGUAAGGGCAGAACAUCCUUUGCUUUGCUGCGUUAGUGUUUGCCACAUCUUCUCUCCAAAUGUUGGAGUUCAACAUGCAAACUGUUAAUAUAUUCCAACAGCAUUUUACAGAUUCUGAGAUUAUUUUUGUAACCCUUGUUUGCAAUUUAAUACUAGUAUCUCUGGUAGUUUCUUCAUGUUACAGUUAUUAGACACAAAUCAUCUGUGUUGUGUGGGCAAGAGGCCUGGCUCUUGAUUAAUAAUCUGCAAUUGGAAUUCUCCAGAUAUCCUUGAGUAUCUUUCCCAUGUUACUGGAAUAAUAAAGUGCAGACUAAGGAAACAGAUUCUGAUCUAGUAGGAGUCAGUAGCAGCUUUCAGGUGUGUUGUCAGUAUACUAUGACAGAUUCUAUUGUUGUGGCAAAGCUGAGCUCUCUAUGCAGCUCUCUCUUCUUUUGUGAUGGGUUUUUAAGCUAUGGACAAAUUUAGAUGGUUGGUACCCCAGGUAGGAAGGUCAUUGCUGACUGGAUUAUAUGUCUCAGGGUAUUCCACUUCUCAUGGUUGACUGGAUGUGCUCAUUAGAAGUAAGCCUCACAAAGGCAAAUUAGUAUGCCUGUCUUAGGGCAGACCAGGUGCCUUAAGCUGCUGGAAAGAAAUCAGUUUACUUGAUGCAGACAGACUUUUUUCAGGCCUUUAACACACCUUUUGCAGCAUACCUUCUUUUAACAAUUUGUUUCUUGGACUUGAACACUGCUCUGCACUCCUUUGCCUUGACUUCCCCCAUUUCAAUUUCAUUUCAUCCUGCUUCUUUCCAAUGAUUUUAGUUGAAAGUUCAACUGAUGAUAACCAGUUUUUCUGUAACUUGGGCUAUAUUGUGUCAGUAAUUGCAAAUAGCAUAGCAUGUCUGUUUUUGCUCAAUGGGAAGCGACAUACUCUUGAUUAAAAUUUAUUGCUAAUAUGCUUUGAUGCUAUUAUUUUACUUUUUCAUUUUUGGACACUUUCUAUUUCUGUUUUAUCAAUUCAAUUUCCUCCAAUGACAAUUAAACUUAAAGUAUGAUGUUAAUAACAUGUCAGCUUCAAAAACGAGGAGGAUAAAGCAAUGCUUUUGCUGAAAAUUACAGUUAAAGAGGAAUAUAAUUUAUAAAACUCAUUUGUUUGUUGAGAUGCCAGCAACAGAAAAUAGAGGAAGAUGUUUGAAUUUUCUUUUUUAACUUGUUUAAUAUUAAAUCAUAAUUUAUAGAUGGAAGGUGUAUCUAUUAUGCAAGCUAGCCCAUUUCUGAUCGAAAGGACCGCCCAUUUUCUAGGGCCUCUUUAAUCCUUCUUUAAGUUUCCAGUGUUCCUUUAGAAGACUUUCACGCAGAUUUUAUAGAUAUUCAGCCCAUUAAUCUCUUCUCAUUUUUUAUUCUUUCUCCAGUAAUCAUACGGUUCAGCUCACCAUGCUGAAUGACUCAUUUUCCUUUCACAGACCCAGAUCAUGUGUUUUUAAUAGUAACUUCAGUCUAUUAUUGUAGUAUUUUAUAUUAGCGCCCACCUUCCACUGGCAUAAAGGACCAGCUGUUGACUGACCUGAAAAAAAAUGAUAUGUGGGCUCAUGAAGACUAGUUCUCUUAACUGGAUGGAUGUAUUUUGAUCCCAUAGGCUCCUUUUUAGACAUCACCUGGGCAUAUGACUUGUUAUCUUUACACGUGCAAGCAUCUCAGCUGGUCAGUGUACUCCCAUGUUUUUCUUCAGUUGUAAUUCCUCCACACUGCUCAUGGACAUCAGCUCUAGACAGUGUCUUGGAUAACAGGUAUUCCUACACUAAGCGGGCCUGUGAUUCUUGUGUGCACUUUUUAUUCUAUGCAUAUACCUAUGUCCAACUUUGUAUUUCCAGACAUCUCUAACUAGGUUGCCAUUAUUAACAGAUGCUUUUUUUCCUUACUACUUCUUCCCUACUUCCUCCUUUAGUUGGGGGAUACAUACUUUAUUAUUCACUAUGUCUUUUAGUCAUGUUCAAAUAAGGUAAUUUCCUUGCUUUGCUUUUUCCCGUCCCUUCCCUUUUUUUCUUUUCCUUGUUUUUCCUCCUUGUUUCGCUUCACUUCUCUUUUUGCCUCCCAAUAUAGAAACAUUUGCCAUCUUUCUUAAUAUGUUAUUUCUCAUUCUUCCAGCUCAUUUAGGAAAAUAUUGAAGAAUAGAAAUGAUCACGAUUCCCUUGUUAUUGCAAAAAAUGUCAGCCUGGCAUAAUGCUAGUCCCUACUAUCAUUGGUUUACAUUCAAUUAGCCAGUUUUUGGUUCUGUCCAAUCCAAUUUAAAUUAACAUUUCAAUUACUCUUUCAUGAAGGAGAGUAAAUGCCUCAUUAAAUUACAUGCCUUAUUAAAAUAGCCAUCAACAUCUGUAAAUAAGCUUUCUAACAUGAUGUUAUACAACAUAAAUGAUUUUUCACUAUCACAAAAAUACUUGAAGCACCUACCAUUUUAAGUAGGCUGGAAUUUAGAAUGUUAGGUUUUUAAUACUGUCUGUAUGAGGAGAUCAUAAAAAACUGGUUCAGGAGAUGCACAGUCUUGGAUUUCCUGAAAACAUUUCUGUGUGUUUUAGAGAAAUGGAGCACUUGAGUUCCUCUCAAAUCACAAAUGAGCACUAUGCUUGUUGCUGAAGAAGGACAGAACAAAAAAGAUAUCUCAGUGCCCCUCUGGCAACUAUCAGUAGCUCUGUUCAGGACAGAGCAAUGUCUCUGCUUCAGCAACAGCAGUGCAGACCUCCAAUUAUGACAUAUAAAUGUUUAAGAACAAUGAGAUAAAGAAUAUCUACUUUUUAUUGGCUGUUUACAUGAUUGCUAUGCUUAAUAUUAUGCCAGGAUGUUUGCUUUCAGUCACUGUUCAGCUGUAUGCAUAUGUUUUGA